GAUGAACGCUGGCGGCGUGCCUAAUACAUGCAAGUCGAGCGAACGGACGAGAAGCUUGCUUCUCUGAUGUUAGCGGCGGACGGGUGAGUAACACGUGGAUAACCUACCUAUAAGACUGGGAUAACUUCGGGAAACCGGAGCUAAUACCGGAUGAUAUUUUGAACCGCAUGGUUCAAAAGUGAAAGACGGUCUUGCUGUCACUUAUAGAUGGAUCCGCGCUGCAUUAGCUAGUUGGUAAGGUAACGGCUUACCAAGGCAACGAUGCAUAGCCGACCUGAGAGGGUGAUCGGCCACACUGGAACUGAGACACGGUCCAGACUCCUACGGGAGGCAGCAGUAGGGAAUCUUCCGCAAUGGGCGAAAGCCUGACGGAGCAAUGCCGCGUGAGUGAUGAAGGUCUUCGGAUCGUAAAACUCUGUUAUUAGGGAAGAACAUAUGUGUAAGUAACUGUGCACAUCUUGACGGUACCUAAUCAGAAAGCCACGGCUAACUACGUG
rnacentral:rRNA from 1 species